rnacentral:hammerhead_ribozyme from 1 species
GCACUGCCGAAGAGUCACACAAUAAGACGAAACGGCUGUCCAGUGC